GGCAGUGUGGCAUAGUGGUUAGUGUUGUACUGCAACCUUGGAGGCCAGAGUUUGAUUCUCAGCUCCGUCA